rnacentral:rRNA from 1 species
AGAGUUUGAUCAUGGCUCAGAUUGAACGCUGGCGGCGUGCCUAACACAUGCAAGUCGCACGAGAAAGUUUCAGCUUGCUGAAGCUAGUAAAGUGGCGCACGGGUGAGUAACGCGUGGGUAAUCUACCUCCGAAUCGGGGAUAACAUUGCGAAAGCGAUGCUAAUACCGGAUAAUAUCUCAUGAGCCGCGGUUUUUGAGAUCAAAGGUGGCCUCUGCUUGGAAGCUACUGUUUGGAGAUGAGCCCGCGUACCAUUAGCUUGUUGGUAGGGUAAUGGCCUACCAAGGCGACGAUGGUUAGCUGGUCUGAGAGGAUGAUCAGCCACACUGGAACUGAAACACGGUCCAGACUCCUACGGGAGGCAGCAGUGAGGAAUUUUGCGCAAUGGGGGAAACCCUGACGCAGCAACGCCGCGUGAGUGAUGAAGGCCUUCGGGUCGUAAAGCUCUGUCAAGUGGGAAGAACCCGCCCUGUGCUAAUAUCACCGGGCAUUGACGGUACCACUGAAGGAAGCACCGGCUAACUCCGUGCCAGCAGCCGCGGUAACACGGAGGGUGCAAGCGUUAUUCGGAAUCACUGGGCGUAAAGAGCGCGUAGGCGGUUUCUUAAGUCAGAUGUGAAAGCCCGGGGCUCAACCCCGGAAGUGCAUUUGAAACUAAGGGACUUGAGUAUGGGAGAGGGAAGUGGAAUUCCUGGUGUAGCGGUGAAAUGCGUAGAUAUCAGGAGGAACACCGGUGGCGAUGGCGACUUCCUGGACCAAUACUGACGCUGAGGCGCGAAGGCGUGGGGAGCAAACAGGAUUAGAUACCCUAGUAGUCC